ensembl:snRNA U5 U5 spliceosomal RNA
UGCUUCUGGUUUCUCUUCGUAACGCACAAGUCUUUUGCCUUUUACUAAAGAUUUCCAUGGAGAGUGACUCCAAUGAGUUUAGCUUGUUUUUGACAGGCUUUGCUGUCUGGCAGAGCCA